AUACAGAGGGUGCGAGCGUUAAUCGGAAUUACUGGGCGUAGAGCGUACGUAGGCGGUUGGUUAAGUUAGAUGUGAAAGCCCCGGGCUUAACCUGGGAACUGCAUUUAAAACUGGCGAACUAGAGUUGAGUAGAGGGGAGUGGAAUUUCAGGUGUAGCGGUGAAAUGCGUAGAGAUCUGAAGGAACACCAGUGGCGAAGGCGACUCCCUGGACUCGAACUGACGCUGAGGUACGAAAGCGUGGGUAGCAAACGGGAUUAGAAACCCCAGUAGUCC
rnacentral:rRNA from 1 species